CAUCCCACUCUGAGAAUGAUUGAGAGUUACAAAUCCAACAUGUGAAGAAGUGCUCUGCUUUCUGACUGGCAUUUCACAAAAUGGGAAAAAGGACAAAAGGCAGACCCACACCACUCAACCAAGCUACUCUUCCUCCUUCUCCCUUCAAGAUCAGCGACGGUGACCAUUGUUCAGAGCCUACAUAAAGCCUUUCAACAAUACAACAUACUACAGUCAUUUUAAAAGAAAUCGUGGAGCAUAGGUGCUCCUCUGUCAGGAACUUCCGGGAGUCAAUUGCUGCAUUAACUGCAUUUGAUAGUAUGCAAAUCCCACCA
ensembl:lncRNA